AAGCGUGGCGCGGCUUACACAUGCAGUCGAGCGGUAACAUUUCUAGCUUGCUAGAAGAUGACGAGCGGCGGACGGGUGAGUAAUACUUAGGAAUCUACCUAGUAGUGGGGGAUAGCUCGGGGAAACUCGAAUUAAUACCGCAUACGACCUACGGGAGAAAGGGGGCAACUUGUUGCUCUCGCUAUUAGAUGAGCCUAAGUCGGAUUAGCUAGAUGGUGGGGUAAAGGCCUACCAUGGCGACGAUCUGUAGCUGGUCUGAGAGGAUGAUCAGCCACACCGGGACUGAGACACGGCCCGGACUCCUACGGGAGGCAGCAGUGGGGAAUAUUGGACAAUGGGGGAAACCCUGAUCCAGCCAUGCCGCGUGUGUGAAGAAGGCCUUUUGGUUGUAAAGCACUUUAAGCAGUGAAGAAGACUCUAUGGUUAAUACCCAUAGACGAUGACAUUAGCUGCAGAAUAAGCACCGGCUAACUCUGUGCCAGCAGCCGCGGUAAUACAGAGGGUGCAAGCGUUAAUCGGAAUUACUGGGCGUAAAGGGAGCGUAGGUGGCUCGAUAAGUCAGAUGUGAAAUCCCCGGGCUUAACCUGGGAACUGCAUCUGAUACUGUUGAGCUAGAGUAUGUGAGAGGGAGGUAGAAUUUCAGGUGUAGCGGUGAAAUGCGUAGAGAUCUGAAGG
rnacentral:rRNA from 1 species